AUGGCAAAGUUAAUAAGGGCGCACGGUGGAUGCCUUGGCAUUAAGAGCCGAUGAAGGACGUGACUAACGACGAUAUUCUAGGGGGAGCAGUAAGUACGCAUUGAUCCCUAGGUCUCCGAAUGGGGAAACCCACUAUGUUAUGCAUAGUAUCCGUAAGUGAAUACAUAGCUUACGCGAAGGUAACGCAGAGAACUGAAACAUCUAAGUACCUGCAGGAAGAGAAAGUAAAAACGAUUUCCUAAGUAGCGGCGAGCGAACGGGAAACAGGCCAAACCAAGAAGCUUGCUUCUUGGGGUUGUAGGACUGCAACGUGGACUUAAAGUCUAUAGAAGAAUUACCUGGGAAGGUAAGCCAAAGAGAGUAAUAGCCUCGUAUUUGAAAUAGACUUUAUACCUAGCAGUAUCCUGAGUAGGGCUGGACACGCGAAAUCCAGUUUGAAUCCGGGAGGACCAUCUCCCAAGCCUAAAUACUCCUUAAUGACCGAUAGUGAACCAGUACCGUGAGGGAAAGGUGAAAAGAACCCCGGGAGGGGAGUGAAAUAGCACCUGAAACCGUGUGCCUACAAGAAGUUCGAGCCCGUCAAUGGGUGAGAGCGUGCCUUUUGUAGAAUGAACCGGCGAGUUACGUUAUGAUGCGAGGUUAAGCUGAAGAGGCGGAGCCGUAGCGAAAGCGAGUCUGAAUAGGGCGCUUUAGUAUCAUGAUGUAGACCCGAAACCUAGUGACCUAUCCAUGAGCAGGUUGAAGGUGCGGUAAGACGCACUGGAGGACCGAACCAGGACACGUUGAAAAGUGUUUGGAUGACUUGUGGAUAGCGGAGAAAUUCCAAACGAACUGGGAGAUAGCUGGUUCUCUCCGAAAUAGCUUUAGGGCUAGCGUCGCAAUUUAAGUGUAUUGGAGGUAGAGCACUGUUUGGAUGAGGGGCCCAUCUCGGGUUACCAAUUUCAGAUAAACUCCGAAUGCUAAUACACAUGUGCGGCAGUCAGACUGCGAGUGCUAAGAUCCGUAGUCGAAAGGGAAACAGCCCAGACCACCAGCUAAGGUCCCAAAAUAUAUGUUAAGUGGAAAAGGAUGUGGGGUUGCACAGACAACUAGGAUGUUAGCUCAGAAGCAGCUAUCAUUCAAAGAGUGCGUAAUAGCUCACUAGUCGAGUGACCCUGCGCCGAAAAUGUACCGGGGCUAAACAUAUUACCGAAGCUGUGGAUUUAAUAUUAAUUAAAUGGUAGGAGAGCGUUGUAAUCAGCGAUGAAGGUAUACCGUGAGGGGUGCUGGAGCGAUUACAAGUGAGAAUGCCGGUAUGAGUAGCGCAAGAUAAGUGAGAAUCUUAUCCACCGUAAGACUAAGGUUUCCAGGGGAAGGCUCGUCCGCCCUGGGUUAGUCGGGACCUAAGGCGAGGCCGAAAGGCGUAGUCGAUGGACAACAGGUUGAUAUUCCUGUACUAGUAUUGUUAGUGAUGGAGGGACGCAGUAGGCUAAAGGGAGCCAGUUAAUGGAUUCUGGUCUAAGCAGUGAGGUGUGGAAUGUGUCAAAUGCAUUUUCCUUUAACAUUGAGCUGUGAUGGGGAAGCAACUACGGUUGCGAAGCCCUUGAUGUCACACUGCCAAGAAAAUCUUCUAGCGUUUAAUUCAAUACUACCCGUACCGCAAACCGACACAGGUAGUCGAGGCGAGUAGCCUCAGGUGAUCGAGAGAACUCUCGUUAAGGAACUCGGCAAAAUGACCCCGUAACUUCGGGAGAAGGGGUGCUGUAGAAAUACAGCCGCAGUGAAAAGAUCCAAGCAACUGUUUAUCAAAAACACAGCUCUCUGCUAAACCGCAAGGUGAUGUAUAGGGGGUGACGCCUGCCCGGUGCUGGAAGGUUAAGAGGAGGGGUUAGCUUAGGCGAAGCUCUGAAUUGAAGCCCCAGUAAACGGCGGCCGUAACUAUAACGGUCCUAAGGUAGCGAAAUUCCUUGUCGGGUAAGUUCCGACCCGCACGAAAGGCGUAAUGAUUUGGAUACUGUCUCAACGAGAGACUCGGUGAAAUUUUAGUACCUGUGAAGAUGCAGGUUACCCGCGACAGGACGGAAAGACCCCAUGGAGCUUUACUGCAGAUUGAUAUUGAGUACCUGUGAAGCAUGUACAGGAUAGGUAGGAGACUUUGACCUUGGGACGCUAGUUUCAAGUGAGUCGCUGUUGGGAUACUACCCUUGCUUCAUGGUUGCUCUAACCCACACGCAUAAUCGGCGUGGGAGACAGUGUCUGUCGGGCAGUUUGACUGGGGCGGUCGCCUCCUAAAGAGUAACGGAGGCGCCCAAAGGUUCCCUCAACAUGGUUGGAAAUCAUGUGUAGAGUGUAAAGGUAUAAGGGAGCUUGACUGCGAGAGCUACAACUCGAGCAGGUAGGAAACUAGGGCUUAGUGAUCCGGUGGUACCGCAUGGAAGGGCCAUCGCUCAACGGAUAAAAGCUACCCUGGGGAUAACAGGCUUAUCUCCCCCAAGAGUUCACAUCGACGGGGAGGUUUGGCACCUCGAUGUCGGCUCGUCGCAUCCUGGGGCUGUAGUCGGUCCCAAGGGUUGGGCUGUUCGCCCAUUAAAGCGGCACGCGAGCUGGGUUCAGAACGUCGUGAGACAGUUCGGUCCCUAUCCGUCGCGGGCGUAGGAAAUUUGAGAGGAUCUGCCCUUAGUACGAGAGGACCGGGGUGGACUUACCGCUGGUGUACCAGUUGUUCCGCCAGGAGCACCGCUGGGUAGCUAUGUAGGGAAGGGAUAAGCGCUGAAAGCAUCUAAGUGCGAAGCCCACCUCAAGAUGAGAUUUCCCAUUCUUUAUGAAUUAAGAGCCCUGAGAGAUGAUCAGGUUGAUAGGCUGGAAGUGGAAGUCCUGCGAGGGAUGGAGCGGACCAGUACUAAUAGCUCGAGGACUUUACCAAG
rnacentral:rRNA from 1 species